ACUUCCGGCUUCCCUGCUCCCACAAAAUGGUAGCCGCCGUGGGGGAUGUCCAGUUUUUUUUCCUCUUCCCAAACGCCAAAUUCCAGCGAAACAGCUGAUGCCAGCCAGCUUGAAGACCCCUGCCACAGAAGAAGGGAAUCAGCAUGAGAAUACAGCUUCUUCAUCUCGCUGUCCCAUGACUUCGCCCUGUACUCUUCAGCCAAUUAAUGAUCUCCACACUUGGGACCACUCUAAAACCCUUAAGAACCUGAGACUCAAAGUCCUCCUGGAGACGAAUUUGAGGUUUCCUCCUAUCUGUGUUUGGUGGCCCUAUGAUUAAACCUCUUUCUCUUCUGCAACCUGGUGUCCCAGUGUAUUAACUUGCCAUGGGCAUCAGACAACAAACCUAUAUAUAGUAUCCCAAAUAUGGUGCUCCACUUUGAAACCUGAAGAAAUCCUGCAAUUGAGUUAGCCUUUUGAAAUAAAAAUUAUUUCAAAUUUUAAAAUAUUUAUAUAUGUUUCCACUUAAGAUAUCUACAAGCAUUUGUUUACAACCUUUUAUCUUGCUUUGCAUCUUAAACAUUUCUGUAUGGCAAUUUCCGUGUCUUCCUAUCAUCUCGGCCAUCUUAGUGCAAAGAUACAAAAUUGUGUGGCUUAUUAAGAAAAAUUACAGUAAGCUAAGGGUAGGUUAAAGGAUCUGAAACUUAGCAGGAAAAAUGAGCAGAAAUUAAAGCUAUAAAAGGCAUGGAUCCUGCUCCAGUUCUCUUUGCUUCUCCUUUGUUCUCUGUCUUCCUCACUUUUAACUGCCUUCUUUGUUUCCCUUGAACCUGACUACUUAAAAAAAAAAUUGAAGAUCUAAAUUAUCUCAAGGCUAAAAGGAUUUUUGUUUAGGAAGUAUGAAGAUUAAUUCAAUUAAAUAAAUACUUAUUGAGCAUUGACUAUCAGGGGAAUACUGGAAGAUAGGCCUGCAGAGGUAAGUUACGGUCAACCUGUAGGAGGUUCCUUGGGUUAGUUUGAACCUUAUCCUUUGGCCACAGUAAAACAUGUAACUUUUCUUUCCCCACAGGAACAUGUCAGAAUGAUCACACUAUUUGUGGGUGUGUAAUCUGGAAGCUGUACCAUGAUUAGUUGAAAGAGAGACUGAAGGCAAGAAAAACAGUGUGGUGACUUGGAGAAGAACCAAGACAUAAGGAAAUGAAGACCUACUCUUGGGUGAUGACAGUAAAAAUAAUGGAAUAGGCCUGAGAGACAGGAAAAGGGAGAACUGAUGAGACUCAGUUACUGAUAGGGCUAAAGAGGAGGAAGGACAGGGCAAGGUGGCUCACGCCUGUAAUCCCAGCACUUUGGGAGGCAAGGCAGGAAGAUCACUUGAGCCCAGGAAUUCAAGACCAGCCUGAGCAACAUGACAAAACCCCAUCUCUACAAAAAAUACAAAAAUUAGGCUGGGCGCAGUGGCCCAGGCCUGUAAUCCCAGCACUUUGGGAGGCCGAGGUGGGUGGAUCACCUGAGGUCAGGAGUUCGAGACCAGCCUGGCCAACAUGGUGAAACCCCAUCUCUACUAAAAAUACAAAAAUUAGCCGGGCGUGGUGGUGUGCGCCUGUAAUCCCAGCUACUUGGGAGGCUGAGACAGGAGAAUCGCUUGAACCCGGGAGGCAGAGGUUGCAGUGAGCUGAGAUCGUGCCAUUGCACUCCAGCCUGGUGACAGAGCAAAACUUGGUCUUUAAAAAAAAAAAAAAUUAGCGGGGUGUGGUGGCACACACCUGUGGUUCCAGCAACCCAGGCAGCUGAGAUGAGAAGAUUGCUUGAGCCCAGGAGGCGAAGGCUGCAGUGAGCCAAGAUCGCACCACUGCACUCCACCCAGAGCAACAGAGUGAGACCCUGUCUGAAAACGACAAAAAAAAAAGAGAGAGAGAGAGAAGGAAGGAUUUAACAAGCUUAUGUAUUUCCUCAUCCAUUAAAAUAAAGAAAAGAAAUUGAGCUAGAGAGCUUCUAGUAUCCUGUCCAGCCAUAAAAUUUCGUUGUUUUCUAUUAUUCUGUUACCUGAAAAUGAAAGGAAGAACUAUUUCAGUGGGAGAAGCAGUUUCAAGGAGAAAAUAAUGAAUGUGGUUUUAGACCUCAAAUCUAAAACCUUGAGAAAUUUUCUAGUUCAGUUUUCUCUCUUGAAGUUAUCAUCCUCUCCAUCUGAGACUCUAGGAGAUUAAGCAGUUGGUCUAAGAACACUCAACUAGUCCAUGACAGAGAAUGAGAAUAAAAGCCCCCCCGUCCUGUAAACAAACUUCUCAUAAAGGCAUCAGCACAUGUAUGUAGAGAUUUCCGGUAGACCCCUAGGGAGAAAACAGAAAAGAGAGAGAAAGAGCAGAAAUAAAG
rnacentral:lncRNA from 10 species